AUUAUAGUUAUGAAAUAUUAUUCAAGUUAUUUUGUAUCUAGUUCUCUGAAAGAUUUAAUAGGUUAUAGUUUUAUUAGGUCAAUAAGUAGGGAUUAGCUUAUUUAUUGUUUAUAUGCGUUUAUGGAGCGGAUUUGUUUGUGAAGUUGAUAGUGCUUGUUUUUAAGGAGUUAUUAUGGGGCAAGGGUUUUAUAUUAUUGUUUUGGGGUUGUGUAAUUAUUGGGGUUAGUUGGUUAAUUUUUUCUUUUAUAAAAUAAUGAUUAUAUUAGUAAUAUUAUAUUUAGUUUAGGAAGUGCAUUUAAAGUAGUUUGGUAGUAAUUAAAUUAAUUUUUAAUUAGGGUAGAUGAAUUCGGCAAUAUUAAUUUUUGACUGUUUAGCAAAAACAUUGUUUUUUGUAAGAAUAAAAAAUAAGUUCUGUCCACUGCUAUUAGGUGAAGGGCUGCAGUAUUUUGACUGUAUGAAGGUAGCAUAAUCAUUAGCUCUUUAAUUGGGGGCUGGUAUGAAGGUGAAACAGGGGUUGUCUAUAUUUAUUUUAUGAGAUGAAUUUUAUUUCUGUGUGAAAAAUCGUAGUUAGAUUAGAGGGACAAGAAGACCCUAAUAAGUUUUAUUUUUUUAUUUAAUGAUAGUAUAGGUAUAUAUUUAUUUGAUUAAAGUAGGGGGGUUUAGCUGGGGCGGCUACUUAUUUAACAUAAGUAAUUUUUUAACUUUGUUUG
rnacentral:rRNA from 1 species